CAGUCGCCGCGGUAACACGGAGGGGGCUAGCGUUGUUCGGAAUUACUGGGCGUAAAGCGCACGUAGGCGGCUUGGUAAGUUAGAGGUGAAAGCCCGGAGCUCAACUCCGGAAUUGCCUUUAAGACUGCCGAGCUAGUAGGUGAGAGAGGUAAGUGGAAUUCCGAGUGUAGAGGUGAAAUUCGUAGAUAUUCGGAAGAACACCAGUGGCGAAGGCGGCUUACUGGCUCAUUCUAGACGCUGAGGUGCGAAAGCGUGGGGAGCAAACAGGAUUAGAUACCCCGGUAGUCCCUGUCUCUUAUAC
rnacentral:rRNA from 1 species